rnacentral:lncRNA from 1 species
UUUUGAGGAGAUGAUCAAAGAGGGUACAACCAAAAUAGUUGCCAGGCCAUACAACAGGCAGUCUUCCAGAUUGACCCCAGCCUGUAGGUGCCACCCCUCGUGUUGAGUUCGGACUGGAUUGGAAUCCUGGAGCUCCCCUAACCAGGUGGGCAGCCUUGGGCAAGUCAUACAGUCUGUGUGCCUCAAUGUCCGCCAAUAUGAAAUGGGGCAGUACUAGCACCUGUCUCACAUGGAUGCUAUUAACGUUAAAUGGUUACCGCACAUAUCACAGCCCUAAGUAGGAGCUUCUUAUUUUCCCGUCCAUGCGUAACUUACCUCCUUCUUAUGGUCAGUUGUCCAUUUCAUGAGAGGUACAGCCGUCCAGCACAGAGACCCCCACAAGUGACCCUGAGGCUCCCAAUGGUCUUGUCUUGGGCUCCCCGAAUGCCUUCCAAGAUGGGUUCAUAAGGGUUGCAUGCUGCUUUUGCCCCAGGAGACGAGAACCCCCAGGGCUCUGGCAGGACAGCAUCCUAGUUAGAUGAGCUGAAUGAGCUCUUUCUCAGCCGUUGAUCUGCUGUGCUGCUCGGGGUCAUCCGCAAUGUUCUAGGCAACGCACCACGGCUCCAAUUUAAC